GACGAACGCUGGCGGCGUGCUUAACACAUGCAAGUCGAACGAAGAGCGAUGGAAGCUUGCUUCUAUCAAUCUUAGUGGCGAACGGGUGAGUAACGCGUAAUCAACCUGCCCUUCAGAGGGGGACAACAGUUGGAAACGACUGCUAAUACCGUAUACGAUCUAACCUCGGCAUCGAGGAUGGAUGAAAGGUGGCCUCUAUUUACAAGCUAUCACUGAAGGAGGGGAUUGCGUCUGAUUAGCUAGUUGGAGGGGUAACGGCCCACCAAGGCGAUGAUCAGUAGCCGGUCUGAGAGGAUGAACGGCCACAUUGGGACUGAGACACGGCCCAGACUCCUACGGGAGGCAGCAGUGGGGAAUCUUCCGCAAUGGACGAAAGUCUGACGGAGCAACGCCGCGUGAGUGAUGACGGCCUUCGGGUUGUAAAGCUCUGUUAAUCGGGACGAAAGGCCUUCUUGCGAAUAGUUAGAAGGAUUGACGGUACCGGAAUAGAAAGCCACGGCUAACUACGUG
rnacentral:rRNA from 1 species